ACACAUACACACACAAGGAUGAGCAAAAAACAAAAAGAGAAAAUGGACAAAACUCCAAAGAGGGAGGGAGGGAGGGUGUGUGUACAUCUUUUUUUUUCUCUUGCCUUCAAGAAUUCCUUUACAAUUCUUCGAUUUCUGUA
rnacentral:ribozyme from 12 species